UGGAAGAAGAAGAAACAGAGGAGGGAGAGAAGUUUGGGUAUUUUGGGAAUGAUUUCCCAAAGAAAAAAAAGUGAUGAUAAGAAGGGAGUCGCCGAAGGAAGAGAAGGAAGGAAUGGGAGCCCGCUGCCACUGCUGCUAUCGUCCACGACUCCAUGGAAGGCUGAUCUUCUCUCCAGGGCCGGAUGCAGCCCUAACAAAGGGAUACGGGUUUUAUGUAUUUAAUUUUAUAUUCUUGGAGUUAUAUGAACUUAUUGUUUUUUAAUGGAUAUCCUCUUUUAUCUCAUAUUUAAUUUCUGUGAUUUUAAAUAUGACGUUUAUACAACUGUUCUUCAUGAUCACUAAGUUAAUAGAAGAUCACCCAUGCUUAGGGAAGAUGCAGUAUCCUGCCACAUUAGUUUAGGGUAGACAUUUCAUGCCAACCGAAGAUGGAUGUUCCUAAAUUACUUCUGUGAGAUUUUUAUUUGAAUGCUUAUUAAGCUUGUAGUCAAUUUGCAUGUUAAUCCAAGAAUCAAUUAAAAUAUAAUUAACCCUUGUUCCGAUGUUAGUGGUGAAUUUCUUGCCCUAGGUUUCUCCCAAACUGAUAUUAUUUUAAUUGCAUUUCUUGUU
rnacentral:lncRNA from 1 species